rnacentral:rRNA from 1 species
AGGACGAACGCUGGCGGCGUGCCUAAUACAUGCAAGUCGAGCGGACAGAAGGGAGCUUGCUCCCGGAUGUUAGCGGCGGACGGGUGAGUAACACGUGGGUAACCUGCCUGUAAGACUGGGAUAACUCCGGGAAACCGGAGCUAAUACCGGAUAGUUCCUUGAACCGCAUGGUUCAAGGAUGAAAGACGGUUUCGGCUGUCACUUACAGAUGGACCCGCGGCGCAUUAGCUAGUUGGUGGGGUAAUGGCUCACCAAGGCGACGAUGCGUAGCCGACCUGAGAGGGUGAUCGGCCACACUGGGACUGAGACACGGCCCAGACUCCUACGGGAGGCAGCAGUAGGGAAUCUUCCGCAAUGGACGAAAGUCUGACGGAGCAACGCCGCGUGAGUGAUGAAGGUUUUCGGAUCGUAAAGCUCUGUUGUUAGGGAAGAACAAGUGCGAGAGUAACUGCUCGCACCUUGACGGUACCUAACCAGAAAGCCACGGCUAACUACGUGCCAGCAGCCGCGGUAAUACGUAGGUGGCAAGCGUUGUCCGGAAUUAUUGGGCGUAAAGGGCUCGCAGGCGGUUUCUUAAGUCUGAUGUGAAAGCCCCCGGCUCAACCGGGGAGGGUCAUUGGAAACUGGGAAACUUGAGUGCAGAAGAGGAGAGUGGAAUUCCACGUGUAGCGGUGAAAUGCGUAGAGAUGUGGAGGAACACCAGUGGCGGAAGGCGGACUCUCUGGUCUGUAACUGACGCUGAGGAGCGAAAGCGUGGGGAGCGAACAGGAUUAGAUACCCUGGUAGUCCACGCCGUAAACGAUGAGUGCUAAGUGUUAGGGGGUUUCCGCCCCUUAGUGCUGCAGCUAACGCAUUAAGCACUCCGCCUGGGGAGUACGGUCGCAAGACUGAAACUCAAAGGAAUUGACGGGGGCCCGCACAAGCGGUGGAGCAUGUGGUUUAAUUCGAAGCAACGCGAAGAACCUUACCAGGUCUUGACAUCCUCUGACAACCCUAGAGAUAGGGCUUUCCCUUCGGGGACAGAGUGACAGGUGGUGCAUGGUUGUCGUCAGCUCGUGUCGUGAGAUGUUGGGUUAAGUCCCGCAACGAGCGCAACCCUUGAUCUUAGUUGCCAGCAUUUAGUUGGGCACUCUAAGGUGACUGCCGGUGACAAACCGGAGGAAGGUGGGGAUGACGUCAAAUCAUCAUGCCCCUUAUGACCUGGGCUACACACGUGCUACAAUGGACAGAACAAAGGGCUGCGAGACCGCAAGGUUUAGCCAAUCCCAUAAAUCUGUUCUCAGUUCGGAUCGCAGUCUGCAACUCGACUGCGUGAAGCUGGAAUCGCUAGUAAUCGCGGAUCAGCAUGCCGCGGGUGAAUACGUUCCCGGGCCUUGUACACACCGCCCGUCACACCACGAGAGUUUGCAACACCCGAAGUCGGUGAGGUAACCUUUAUGGAGCCAGCCGCCGAAGGUGGGGCAGAUGAUUGGGGGUGAAUC